rnacentral:lncRNA from 1 species
GAACAAAUAUUUGGUCGAGUAAGUUUUACUAAUGGGAGAUAUCAUGUAAUGAGAAGAAAAGGCAACAUAAUCACUACAAUACAAGUUUUUGCCUUUGCUCUUCCCUGUUUUGACCAAGCCCCACUCUGUGCCCUACUGUUUUGCUCCUGUUUGUUUUGACCAAUGCAUGAGCACCAUAGCCUCAUAUAGAACUACAAGUCAGUGAACAUUUGUAAGAGCUCUA